AAAGCGUGCGCAGGCGGUAAUGUAAGAACAGAUGUGAAAUCCCCGGGCUCAACCUGGGAACUGCAUUUGUGACUGCAUUGCUGGAGUGCGGCAGAGGGGGAUGGAAUUCCGCGUGUAGCAGUGAAAUGCGUAGAUAUGCGGAGGAACACCGAUGGCGAAGGCAAUCCCCUGGGCCUGCACUGACGCUCAUGCACGAAAGCGUGGGGAGCAAACAGGAUUAGAUACCCUGU
rnacentral:rRNA from 1 species